GACGAACCGUGCGAACGUUGUUCGGAAUCACUGGGCUUAAAGGGCGCGUAGGCGGGCUUGAUAGUCCGUGGUGAAAGCCCCCGGCUUAACCGGGGAAGUGCCAUGGAUACUGCAAGCCUGGAGGAGGGUAGGGGCAUCUGGAACGCUGGGUGGAGCGGUGAAAUGCGUUGAUAUCCAGCGGAACUCCGGUGGCGAAGGCGGCCUUCUGGACAGUGACUGACGCUGAGACGCGAAAGCGUGGGGAGCAAACAGG
rnacentral:rRNA from 1 species